CAAUGUUCAAAUUCAUGGGUGGUUGAUCAGUCUUCGUUCUCGAUGGAGUCGUCGCACCACUAUAAUCGAGCGUGCUUGCACACGACACCAUUUCGACGGAUUCCAUCUUCUUCUACAUAAUAUGAAGUUGGGAGGCGAGUGCAUGGCACCAACGACCCACCCGCUCUCCUCUCCAUCCGGCCUCAUCUGCACCCUCGUCCUCGGUCGCCGGCGACAGCCCCAGGGCACUUGGAUUAAAUGGCCCUCACAGCUUUAUGCCGUGGUCUCGGGGCCAACGCGGCCAGGUUCGGGUUCAGUCCCUGCAGUGGGUUGCCGCUUCUUCCGGAAGAGGGGCUCUUCGCUUGAGCGGAGAAAGGAGAGCGCCUCGUCUUCGUACCUGCACACAGGUCGGGUCGGGGUGUUUGACCCGACCCCUCCGACGAUUAAGUUAGUAGAUGGUCCCCGGGGUUUUUUUCUCCCCUUUCUCCCUUGGCAGGUAAGGGGUUUUAUAGUAAAGGGUUACCGCUAUCCGGUGUGACCGUUUGCAGGGAGCAGGGUCGUACUUCUGGUAACGUCCGACAGUGGCGUUGGCUUGGCGUGUAGGGGCAAGCCCGAGCAGGGCGUUAAUGCGCCUCGGUUGGUGUUCCGGUCAGUUGACCGAGUGCGGUCGGGUCGAUCGAGGCGUGAGACGUCAUCCGGGGUAACUGAUGUUAAUCAAGUCGUGUCACCAUUAUUGCUCUCGUCAGAGGGUGUCCUUUCGGUUGGCCUGGCUACCCCUACCUGGCGUGCGUCACCAACUGUAAUGCUGUUGGGUCUCCGGUGAUUCCCUCAUCAAGUAAUAUACUCGAUCAUCGGGGAUCGUGUCACUACUUACAAGUCUUCACUCAUUUUGUA